UUCCUCUCCUAGGGGUUCUGCAGGGUGAUGGCUCUGGAGAGAGGGCAGGAUGCCCUGGAAGUUAAGUGGAAACAGACUGAAGAGUGAAUAAUAACGUGACCUGAGAUGGUGCCCCCAAAGGAUAAGAAGGACUACAGUAUCUGUUAGCAGGAAGUCACUCUGACCAGGAUUGGACAAAGCCUUAUGUUUUCCAUCCUGAGUUUUCUGUGGAAACGCACAUGCCAUACAGUUGCUCAGAACAGCAGAGGGCACCAACAUCCCAAGCAAACAAACAAAGGCAAACCUUGGCAUCCAACUCAGGGUCAGGCCGUCCCCGGGAAGCAUUCUGGAGAAGGAGCCGCAGCUGGAACAAGAUGUUCUCAGCAUCUCCUACACCAUGUGUGCUGGAACACUGCCAUGCUUCUGCCUUGAUGAUAGUGGACUGGACCUCUGAACCUCAUGUCUAUGGAAGCCAGGGGACACAUUUCUGGAGCUAGUUCUCUCCUUCCACCAUAUCUGAGUCAUAUGCCUAACAUUCCUCUCAGGACCAGUGAGUACAUUUCAGAAAGUCAACAAUCAGGUGCAUUGGAGGUCCAAAGCCACUCUAUUGUUUGUAGAACAUGCCAUAAAGAAGACUGCAGAAUGGACUGCCAUUUAAUG
rnacentral:lncRNA from 1 species